CAGACCGAGCGGAGCGGCGGGGUGGGGCCGGGACCCCGGGCGCGCAGGGCUCCUGCGUGAGUGCUCUCGGGCUGCUCGCUCCCCGCGGGGGCCGCAGCAGAGCCACCCUGGAGGGGAUCAGCGCGGGCCGGGGGCCCGUGGGCUGGGACGCCGCGGUGGACGACCGCCCCGAGCGCACCUGCCUCCCAAGUGAGGGCACUGAGAAAGGGGAGGGCAGUCCCGGGAGAGGGGUCCGGCCGCGCCAGGCCUCAGCCUGGGGAGGAGUCUAGGCCUUGCCCUGUGGGUGUUCUCGCUGCGACAGUGCCGCCCUGCCCUGCACCUGCUCGCCACGCCGCGGCGCCUCCCCACAGCCUCAGUGCCGGCCCGAGCUGGGGUGGGAGUUGGAGGCCGUCGGACGCGCCCUGGAGUACAGCGGGGAGCGUGCGUGGAAGCCCCCCUGGGUGGGCAGAGGAGCGUGCGGCGCAGCACACGCCCGUGCGGGCUGCGGGAAGGACCUGUGAGCUCCUGCGGGGCGGGGAGAGUAUGGCAGGUGGGACCUUAAGCGGUUGAUGGAGGUGUCUGGACUUCAUUCCAAGGACAGUGUGGCACCAAAUGAGCUUUGAUGCCGGCUGAGACCUGCUCAGAUGAGGGUUUUUGAGAGAGGACGAGGGCUGGGUGUCAAAGUGAGAGGAUGGGGUGGCCAGGCGUCUAACCAGAGGCCUGGGCUGGUAGAGCUGGGGGCGGAGGCAGGAGAGAGGAGGGCAGAUUUGGGAGGAAGGCUGGGCCAGGACUGGUGCCUGACUGGUUGGGGGAGGGGGCUGGGUGUUCUCAGUUUGCCCCUGCAGGCCCUCUGGACACCAGGUGGCCCCACCUCCACCCCAUCUGCCUCCAGUUGAGUUUGGGGAACUUCCCCAGCUCCCCUGCUGCGGGAGCGGCCACCUGCCCUCCUCCUGAGGCCCUAGCCCUGCCCGCCCCUUUUUCCUGCCCUCUUCAGGCUCCAGGACUGACUGCCUGGGGGCCUUGCCAUCUCUCUUGGCUUUGCCUGCGCUUGUCUACACCUUGGUAAAUGACCCUUCACAAAAGUCACUUUCUCUCUGUGCCUUCCUUCUGCCAGGACCCUGACUUCCUCCAAGGUGAGGCAGAGAGGAGGCAAGGAUGUGUUCAGCUUCCGCCCGGACCCAGCCAGCGCGUGUGGCUGUCACAGGCUGGGACUCCAGGCAGAGAGCAGUACAGAAAUUCCGACACAUGCUGCAGCGUGGAUGAACCCGGUGACACUAUGCUAAAUGAGAUAAGCCGGUCACAAAAGGACAAAUACUGUAUGAUCCCACGUGUAGGAAGCCCCUGAGUCGUCAAAAUCAGAGACAGAAGGUAGAAGGUGGGUGCCGGGCUGGAAGCUGGAGGGUGGCUGAGUGUUUGAUGAAGACAGUGGCAGCUGGGAAGAUGGAGAGUUCUGAGAGGGACGGUGACGGUUGGGCGACAGUGAGAAUGGACUUAAUGCCACUGAGCUGUUCACUUACAAUCAGUUAAAAUAGUAUCUUUUAUGUUACUUGUAUUUUGCACAACAGAAGAAAAGAAUGAAUAGCCUAUAAAAUUCUGAAAAGGAAAAAAGGCCUCAGCCCUGCCAGAGAGUAGAAUCUGUCAUGGGGCCAACCAGAACAUUUUGCUACAGACAGUUGACACACAGAUCGGAGGUCUGUGUGGUCAUUUAGCGUGUGAUCAAGCGGGCAUUUAAAAUCCACAAGGAAAAGGGCAUUAUUUAAUAAAGAGUAUUGGGACAACUGG